rnacentral:rRNA from 1 species
AUGAACGCUGGCGGCGUGCCUAAUCCCUGCCAGUCGAGCGAACGGACGAGAAGCUUGCUUCUCUGCUGUUAGCGGCGGACGGGUGAGUAACCCGUGGAUAACCUACCUAUAAGACUGGGAUAACUUCGGGAAACCGGAGCUAAUACCGGAUGAUAUUUUGCACCGCAUGGUUCAAAAGUGAAAGACGUUCUUGCUGUCACUUAUAGAUGGAUCCGCGCUGCAUUAGCUAGUUGGUAAGGUAACGGCUUACCAAGGCAACGAUGCAUAGCCGACCUGAGAGGGUGAUCGGACACACUGGAAGUGAGACACGGUCCAGACUCCUACGGGAGGCAGCAGUAGGGAAUCUUCCGCAAUGGGCGAAAGCCUGACGGAGCAACGCCGCGUGAGUGAUGAAGGUCUUCGGAUCGUAAAACUCUGUUAUUAGGGAAGAACAUAUGUGUAAGUAACUGUGCACAUCUUGACGGUACCUAAUCAGAAAGCCACGGCUAACUACGUG